UACGUAGGCAGCGAGCGUUGUUCGGAUUCAUUGGGCGUAAAGGGUGCAUAGGCGGCGGGGAAAGUCUGAUGUGAAAUCCUGGGGCUCAACCCUGGAACUGCAUUGGAUACUUCCUUGCUAGAGUACUGGAGAGGAAACUGGAAUUUACGGUGUAGCAGUGAAAUGCGUAGAGAUCGUAAGGAAGACCAGUGGCGAAGGCGAGUUUCUGGACAGUUACUGACGCUGAGGCACGAAGGCCAGGGGAGCAAACGGG
rnacentral:rRNA from 1 species